rnacentral:piRNA from 1 species
UCUACAACCGUACCUACUCUUAGAUGCCAAG